UUUGAUCCUGGCUCAGGAUGAACGCUAGCUGGAGGCUUAAUACAUGCAAGUCGAGCGGGAUGCAGUUGUCUUCGGAUGAUUGUUGAGAGCGGCGAACGGGUGAGUAACGCGUACACGACCUACCUUUGACAGGGGGAUAGCCCUGGGAAACUGGGAUUAAUACCGCAUAUUAUCCUGAUUAAUAAAGAAUUGGAAUGAAAGUUCAGGCGGUCAAAGAUGGGUGUGCGUCUGAUUAGCUAGUUGGUAGGGUAACGGCCUACCAAGGCGAUGAUCAGUAGGGGGCGUGAGAGCGUGAUCCCCCACACGGGUACUGAGACACGGACCCGACUCCUACGGGAGGCAGCAGUAAGGAAUAUUGGACAAUGGCCGCAAGGCUGAUCCAGCCAUCCAGCGUGCAGGAAGACGGCCCUACGGGUUGUAAACUGCUUUUAUCAGGGAAGAAACCUUUGGAUUUACUCCGAAGCUGACGGUACCUGAAGAAUAAGCACCGGCUAACUCCGUGCCAGCAGCCGCGGUAAUA
rnacentral:rRNA from 1 species